rnacentral:rRNA from 1 species
CACGGGGGUUGCGAGCGUUGUCCGGAAUUACUAGGCGUAAAGGGCAGGCAGGCGGAUCCAUAAGUUUAUCGUUUAAGGCGUCGGCUUAACCGGCGUAGGGCGGUAGAUACUGCGGAUCUGGAAUGCGGUUGGGGAAGACAGAAUUCCUGGUGUAGCGGUGGAAUGCGCAGAGAUCAGGAGGAAUACCGAAGGCGAAGGCAGUCUUCCAAGCCGUUAUUGACGCUCAACUGCGAAGGUGUGGGUAUCAAACAGGAUUAGAUACCCUGGUAGUCCCUGA